CCGGGCAGGGCUGCGGGAACCUCUGCCCAGACCCUGGGAGAGUGGCCACGAGCCCGCCGCGGGCGCAGCAAAGACCCGGAGGGCCCGAAGAGUUGCUAGGGGUUCGAGGAAAAUGAAAUGACCCAACACUACAGUUCUGGUUGCUCGCCUGCGGGCCAGAUCUCUCGGCGCGGCCGGAGAUCGACCUGCCGUGCCCGGGACGCUGUCGGCGAUUUCGGACCCCGGGCAAGCUCGCAGAGCCAGUCCCCGGAUCCGCUCGCCCAGCCCUAGUCUUGGGGUGCGGACGGACCCGCCGCGGGGGGCUCAGCGUCCGGGAGAACCGGGCCGCUGGAGACGAAAGCGCGGGAGUGGCGGCGCUCCCGGCCCCGCGUCUUUCUCCUGGGGCCAAGCCACCCUGUCAUCGCCGGGACAUCGCGGGACUCCACGCAGCCGGCCGAGGGUUCAAGCCUUCGGCCGGCCUUCCCUGCGCCCCACAGCGCGGUGGACUGGGGCGGCAAUUGGCGCUCUUCGUCUGAGCGAGGUCUUGGGGUAGAGCGAGCGAGCGAGCGAGCGAGCGAGCGAGCGAGAGAGCAGCCAGGCUCAUCCGGCUCCCGCCGCGCCCCAAGAGGCUCGCAGUUCCCUGACUGAACAGAAGGAAGGACAACACAGAAGAAAGGAUCCCAUCCCAACUCUGCCCUGUGGGGUGGAACCCAAAGGAGCUGGCUGACAGUCUCCGCAGCUGCUGUGUCCUCCACUGGGCUCCUGUGCCUCGCAGCAUCCCCCUCUUCCACUGGAAGUUUGUCUUUCUGACUCUGUUCUCCCAUCCUCCGGCUUCUGCCUCCUCAGCUCUCUCACUAAACAUAGCCACAAAGAAACUGGCUGGAUGCAGGAGUGAAGGCCAAUAAAGAUGCUCAAGGUAGCUGUGGAGUGUUGAGUAACAAACCCUGUAUGAAACGUAGGGGAUUUUUUGUUGUUGUUUGUUUUUUUGUCUUUUUUUUUUCUGCAUAGACAUCGAAAUAAAACCCUGAGGUUGUUUCC
ensembl:processed_transcript AW047730 expressed sequence AW047730